rnacentral:rRNA from 1 species
CAUGCCAAGUUCCUUGGAACAGGACGUCCUAGAGGGUGAGAGCCCCGUACCGGCUUGAGUGACCUUUGCCAUGUGAAGCUCCUUCGACGAGUCGAGUUGUUUGGGAAUGCAGCUCUAAGCGGGAGGUAAAUUUCUUCUAAAGCUAAAUAUUCGGUGUCUCCGAUAGCGAACAAGUAGAGUGAUCGAAAGAUGAAAAGCACUUUGGAAAGAGAGUUAAAAAGCACGUGAAAUUGUUGAAAGGGAAGCGCUUGCCCCCAGACUUGCCCGCGGUCGUUCAGCCCCCCUUCUGGGGGGUGUACUCUUCCGCGGGCGGGCCAGCGUCAGCUUCGGCGGCCGGAUAAAGGCUUCGGGAAUGUAGCUCCCCCCGGGGAGUGUUAUAGCCCGAGGUGCAAUGCGGCCAGCCGGGGUUGAGGAUCGCGUUCUGCUAGGAUGCUGGCGUAAUGGGUGCAAGCGACCCGUCUUGAAACACGGACCAAGGAGUCGACCAUGUGUGCGAGUGUUUGGGCGUCAAACCCACACGCGUAAUGAAAGUGAACGGAGGUGGGAACCCGCAAGGGUGCACCAUCGACCGAUCCUGAUGUCUUCGGAUGGAUUUGAGUAAGAGCAUCCCUGGUCGGACCCGUAAGUUUUUGCCUACUCUUUCAGGUUUGGUAGAACGUAUACUAACAGUCUCUGCAGGAAAGAUGGUGAACUAUUCCUGGAUAGGCCGAAGCCAGAGGAAACUCUGGUGGAGGGUCGCAGCGGUUCUGACGUGCAAAUCGAUCGUCAAAUCUGGGUAUAGGGUGAGUUUAUGCCCUUAUUAUCUAUCGCUUUUUAAGACUUCUUGCUAACCUUUAUCUCUCAGGGCGAAAGACUAAUCGAACCAUCUGGUAGCUGGUUCCUGCCGAAGUUUCGUAAGUUUAUAAUAUUCUGCCUGACCUUUGGAGCGAAAACUAACAACCUCUACAGCCUCAGGAUAGCAGUAACGUAUUCAGUUUUAUGAGGUAAAGCGAAUGAUUAGAGGCCUUGGGGCUGAAACAGCCUUAACCUAUUCUCAAACUUUAAAUAUGUAAGAAGCUCUUGUUGCUUAAUUGAACGUGAGCAUUUGAAUGUACCGUUACUAGUGGGCCAUUUUUGGUAAGCAGAACUGGCGAUGCGGGAUGAACCGAACGUGGGGUUAAGGUGCCGGAAUGCACGCUCAUCAGACACCACAAAAGGUGUUAGUUCAUCUUGACAGCAGGACGGUGGCCAUGGAAGUCGGAACCCGCUAAGGAGUGUGUAACAACUCACCUGCCGAAUGAACUAGCCCUGAAAAUGGAUGGCGCUUAAGCGUGUUACCUAUACCCCACCGCCGGGCCAGAUACGAGGGCCCGGCGAGUAGGCAGGCGUGGGGGU